rnacentral:rRNA from 1 species
UACGAAGGGUGCAAGCGUUACUCGGAAUUACUGGGCGUAAAGCGUGCGUAGGUGGUGAGUUAAGUCUGUCGUGAAAGCCCCGGGCUCAACCUGGGAAUGGCGAUGGAUACUGGCUCGCUAGAGUGCGGUAGAGGAGAGUGGAAUUCCCGGUGUAGUGGUGAAAUGCGUAGAGAUCGGGAGGAACACCUGUGGCGAAGGCGGCUCGCUGGGCCGGUCCUGACGCUGAAACGCGAAGGCGUGGGGAGCGAACGGG